GCUCCAGUGGCAUAAUCGGUCAGCACGCGGUACUUAUACAGCAGUACAGGUGAAGCAAUGCCGAGGUUGUGAGUUCGAGCCUCACCUGGAGCA
rnacentral:tRNA from 1 species